ACCAUGCCAGGGUGCUCCAAGCCCUGUCCAGCCUGGCCUUGGACACUUCCAGGGAUCCGGGGGCAGCCACAGCUUCUGUGGGCAGCCUGUGCUGGACAGCAGCUUUGAAAGGCAGAAUGUCGUGGAUGUGCUGGCUGUUCUGAUGGAGGGCAGUGAUGGCUUAGAUGAAGGAAUUGUGUUCUCUUUCAAUGAAGACGUGAUUAUCCAAACAUUUCCCUUCAGUGCUGUUGUCCCUGCUGCAUGAGCAGCCAGGAAUAUGCUGUUGUUUCAGUCUGGAAAUGGAACAGGUACAGGGGUUUUUUUAUGUUUUAUGUGUCAUUUCUAGCAGUGGAGUGAAAGCGGCAUCAUUUCUACCCUCUUGUAAUAAUUUUUUACCAUUUAUCAUUUUUUACCUUGAGGUAUUUUUUUAUCUUCCCUGCAAGCAGCAGGAGGUGCAGAUUCACGGUGCUUUGUGCUCAGGAGGGGCAUUGAAGCUCUGUAGGUGCUUCUGCCCUUUUUCCCUGACCCUGAAGAGAAGGGACACUGUCCCUGCAUGGACAGUCUUGGUCUGGAAGUAGCUGGCCUCAGUAACAGCGUUUUAAGGGCAGAGCGUGGCGAUCAGGAGAGGAAGGUGGUUCCCGUGCCUGUGGGCAGCUCUUCCCGAGAGCAGGGAGAGGGGACUGCCUUGUUAAGUAGGA